CCUCCACCACCCGUUCCGAAGCGGUCAGAGUCCAGAGAUCUGAGCAGUCAGAGUGAGGACAGCCUGCUGGGUGGGCAUUUCCUUUCAGCUCUGCCCUGGCGCUGCACUACCCCACCGAGAAGAUGAAGGUCUCCUUCGCCUGCCUCCUCCUCCUCCUCGCCAUCCUCAGCACAGCAUCUGCUUUCUACAACCGGCAGAGAAUGCCUGAGUCGAUAAAACCUCUACCCAACUGCUGCCAUAAGUACUAUGAGAAGGUACUGCCAAAGAAACGGGUGGCGGGAUACAAAGAGGCCCUCAGCUGCCACCUGCCAGGAAUCAUCUUUGUCACCAAGAAGAACCUAGAAGUCUGUGCCAACCCUAAUGAGGAAUGGGUCAAAGAGUACAUCAAGGAUCCCAAAAUACCUUUGAUGCCUCACAAGAAUUUAGCCUAGUCUGCGGUUACCAGAGGAUUUUCUGUCCUUCAAGUCCCUAUGUAGCCCAUAUUGGCCUCAAACACAGUAAUCCUCCUACCUUGGCCUCCUAAAGGCUGGGAUCACAGCUCAACAACAGCGACCUGACUCCAACAGAAUUCAACAUUCCUCCCAAAAUGCUGUUGUGCAAGCAAACAAAACAAAUCAGCUAAAGUUAAACGAUUAAGAAACAAAUAAUGCGGUGAAGCAAUGAUUCUAAGAACUGACCAAGAAACUGAGUUCUGCUAAA